GGGUUGUGAGGUUAAGCGAAUAAGCGUACACGGUGGAUGCCUAGGCAAUCAGAGGCGAUGAAGGACGUGCUAAUCUGCGAAAAGCGUCGGUAAGGUGAUAUGAACCGCUAUACCCGACGAUAUCCGAAUGGGGAAACCCAGUAUCCAAUGGAUACUAUCAUUAACUGAAUCCAUAGGUUAAUGAGGCGAACCGGGAGAACUGAAACAUCUCAGUACCCCGAGGAAAAGAAAUCAACCGAGAUUCCCCUAGUAGCGGCGAGCGAACGGGGAGCAGCCCAGAGUCUUAAUCAAUAGCAGUGUCAGGAGAACGGUCUGGAAAGUCCGGCAGUAAAGGGUGAUAGCCCCGUAUCUGAAGAUGCUGUUGUUGUGAACUCGACGAGUAGGGCGGGACACGUGUUAUCCUGUCUGAAUAUGGGGGGACCAUCCUCCAAGGCUAAAUACUCCUGAUUGACCGAUAGUGAACCAGUACCGUGAGGGAAAGGCGAAAAGAACCCCGGCGAGGGGAGUGAAAAAGAACCUGAAACCGUGUACGUACAAGCAGUAGGAGCCUCUUUAUGGGGUGACUGCGUACCUUUUGUAUAAUGGGUCAGCGACUUAUAUUCUGUAGCAAGGUUAACCGUAUAGGGGAGCCGUAGGGAAACCGAGUCUUAACUGGGCGAAUGAGUUGCAGGGUAUAGACCCGAAACCCGGUGAUCUAUCCAUGGGCAGGUUGAAGGUUGGGUAACACUAACUGGAGGACCGAACCGACUAAUGUUGAAAAAUUAGCGGAUGACUUGUGGAUGGGGGUGAAAGGCCAAUCAAACCGGGAGAUAGCUGGUUCUCCCCGAAAGCUAUUUAGGUAGCGCCUCGUGAACUCAUCUUCGGGGGUAGAGCACUGUUUCGACUAGGGGGUCAUCCCGACUUACCAACUCGAUGCAAACUGCGAAUACCGAAGAAUGUUAUCACGGGAGACACACGGCGGGUGCUAACGUCCGUCGUGAAGAGGGAAACAACCCAGACCGCCAGCUAAGGUCCCAAAGUCAUGGUUAAGUGGGAAACGAAGUGGGAAGGCUCAGACAGCCAGGAUGUUGGCUUAGAAGCAGCCAUCAUUUAAAGAAAGCGUAAUAGCUCACUGGUCGAGUCGGCCCGCGCGGAAGAUGUAACGGGGCUAAACCAUGCACCGAAGCUGCGGCAGCGACACAUAGUGUUGUUGGGUAGGGGAGCGUUCUGUAAGCCUGCGAAGGUGUACUGUGAGGUAUGCUGGAGGUAUCAGAAGUGCGAAUGCUGACAUAAGUAACGAUAAUGCGGGUGAAAAACCCGCACGCCGGAAGACCAAGGGUUCCUGUCCAACGUUAAUCGGGGCAGGGUGAGUCGACCCCUAAGGCGAGGCUGAAAAGCGUAGUCGAUGGGAAACGGGUUAAUAUUCCCGUACUGGUGGUAACUGCGAUGGGGGAACGGAGAAGGCUAGGUUGUCCGGGCGACGGUCGUCCCGGUUCAAGCAGGUAGGCAGAGUGAUUAGGCAAAUCCGGUCACUUAAUGCUGAGAUGUGAUGACGAACCACCAAGGUGGUGAAGCAAUUGAUGCCCCGCUUCCAGGAAAAGCCUCUAAGCUUCAGGUUACCAACAAUCGUACCCCAAACCGACACAGGUGGUCAGGUAGAGAAUACUCAGGCGCUUGAGAGAACUCGGGUGAAGGAACUAGGCAAAAUGGUGCCGUAACUUCGGGAGAAGGCACGCUGGCGGUAGGUAAAGUCCCUCGCGGACAGAGCUGAAGCCAGUCGAAGAUACCAGCUGGCUGCAACUGUUUAUUAAAAACACAGCACUGUGCAAACACGAAAGUGGACGUAUACGGUGUGACGCCUGCCCGGUGCUGGAAGGUUAAUUGAUGGGGUUAGCGCAAGCGAAGCUCCUGAUCGAAGCCCCAGUAAACGGCGGCCGUAACUAUAACGGUCCUAAGGUAGCGAAAUUCCUUGUCGGGUAAGUUCCGACCUGCACGAAUGGCGUAAUGAUGGCCAGGCUGUCUCCACCCGAGACUCAGUGAAAUUGAACUCGCUGUGAAGAUGCAGUGUACCCGCGGCAAGACGGAAAGACCCCGUGAACCUUUACUAUAGCUUGACACUGAACAUUGAGCCUUGAUGUGUAGGAUAGGUGGGAGGCUUUGAAGUGUGGACGCCAGUCUGCAUGGAGCCAACCUUGAAAUACCACCCUUUAACGUUUGAUGUUCUAACCUAGGCCCAUAAACUGGGUCGGGGACCGUGUCUGGUGGGUAGUUUGACUGGGGCGGUCUCCUCCUAAAGAGUAACGGAGGAGCACGAAGGUUGGCUAAGCAUGGUCGGACAUCAUGCGGUUAGUGCAAAGGCAUAAGCCAGCUUGACUGCGAGAGUGACGGCUCGAGCAGGUACGAAAGUAGGUCUUAGUGAUCCGGUGGUUCUGAAUGGAAGGGCCAUCGCUCAACGGAUAAAAGGUACUCCGGGGAUAACAGGCUGAUACCGCCCAAGAGUUCAUAUCGACGGCGGUGUUUGGCACCUCGAUGUCGGCUCAUCACAUCCUGGGGCUGAAGUAGGUCCCAAGGGUAUGGCUGUUCGCCAUUUAAAGUGGUACGCGAGCUGGGUUUAGAACGUCGUGAGACAGUUCGGUCCCUAUCUGCCGUGGGCGUUGGAAGAUUGAGAGGGGUUGCUCCUAGUACGAGAGGACCGGAGUGAACGCACCACUGGUGUUCGGGUUGUCAUGCCAAUGGCAUUGCCCGGUAGCUAAGUGCGGAAGAGAUAACCGCUGAAAGCAUCUAAGCGGGAAACUUGCCUCGAGAUGAGUCUUCCCUGUCGCUUUAAGUGACCUAAAGGAACGUUUAAGACUAAGACGUUGAUAGGCUGGGUGUGUAAGCGUAGCGAUACGUUGAGCUAACCAGUACUAAUGAACCGUGAGGCUUAACCUGACAACACCGAAGGUGUUU
rnacentral:rRNA from 1 species